rnacentral:lncRNA from 1 species
UUUCCUGUGUGAUCCUAGCCCCCCUCACAAGAGCCAGGCUAAGACACUCCUAUUAGAUAAGGCAGAAAAGCAUCCUCCAGUGUUAAUAGCCAGCAUAUUUGUCUUAGGUGAAACAGAGACUACACCUUGGAUUUGUUACAAGAGCAGCUAGGUCAUUAAAUAACCUGGCAACCUACCCAAAGGACACAGAGGCAUCUGUAUGGAAGCAAAGUCUCUCCCUUUGGUUUGUGAGUUAAGAGGCGUCUGGGAAGAGGAGGAGGCGACGGGGACAAGAGCAGCACACACAGUGCCCGGGAGGAUGAGGACCCUUCAAGGGGGCGUGUGGGACUGAUAUGCAGGCAUCUGCGAGCUGUAAUCCCAGCUCUGUCACUUUUUGCCUCUGUGGUCCUGGAAAGGAGGACAGAAAUCUCCCAGUUAGAGACGAAUACUGAAGACAGUUGUUAUAAGCUGUUCUUCAAAGAAAGCAAACCAGAGCAGAAAGGUCAGCGCUACUGUGGAGAAGAAAGCGAGGCAGGAUUCGAGGUAAGGAUCCCACUCUCCCUAGAAGAGACGGGAAAGGACUGAGCAAGCUUGGGGUGGCCUCAGGGCCAAGGGCAAAGGGUUCCCAAAAGCAAAUUACAAUGACUAAUCACUCUGGCUGCUGUGUUGCAAGAUAACGACAAUGCCUCAUUUAGCCAGGGCAGGUUUUUGCUUUUGUUCCAGUGCUUGCUGUGCUCAGUUUUC